AGAGUUUGAUCUGGCUCAGGACGAACGCUGGCGGCACGCUUAACACAUGCAAGUCGAACGAGAGAAGAGGAGCUUGCUUUUCUGAUCUAGUGGCGGACGGGUGAGUAACACGUGAGCAAUCUGCCUUUCAGAGGGGGAUACCGAUUGGAAACGAUCGUUAAUACCGCAUAACAUAAUUGAACCGCAUGAUUUGAUUAUCAAAGAUUUAUCGCUGAAAGAUGAGCUCGCGUCUGAUUAGCUAGUUGGUAAGGUAACGGCUUACCAAGGCGACGAUCAGUAGCCGGACUGAGAGGUUGAUCGGCCACAUUGGGACUGAGACACGGCCUAGACUCCUACGGGAGGCAGCAGUGGGGAAUAUUGCACAAUGGAGGAAACUCUGAUGCAGCGAUGCCGCGUGAGGGAAGAAGGUUUUAGGAUUGUAAACCUCUGUCUUCAGGGACGAAAAAAGACGGUACCUGAGGAGGAAGCUCCGGCUAACUACGUGCCAGCAGCCGCGGUAAUACGUAGGGAGCGAGCGUUGUCCGGAAUUACUGGGUGUAAAGGGAGCGUAGGCGGGAUCGCAAGUCAGAUGUGAAAACUAUGGGCUUAACCCAUAAACUGCAUUUGAAACUGUGGUUCUUGAGUGAAGUAGAGGUAAGCGGAAUUCCUAGUGUAGCGGUGAAAUGCGUAGAUAUUAGGAGGAACAUCAGUGGCGAAGGCGGCUUACUGGGCUUUAACUGACGCUGAGGCUCGAAAGCGUGGGGAGCAAACAGGAUUAGAUACCCUGGUAGUCCACGCCGUAAACGAUGAUUAUUAGGUGUGGGGGGACUGACCCCUUCCGUGCCGCAGCAAACGCAAUAAGUAAUCCACCUGGGGAGUACGACCGCAAGGUUGAAACUCAAAGGAAUUGACGGGGGCCCGCACAAGCAGUGGAGUAUGUGGAUUAAUUCGAAGCAACGCGAAGAACCUUACCAGGUCUUGACAUCGUAUGCAUAGCUCAGAGAUAAGUGAAAUCUCUUCGGAGACAUAUAGACAGGUGGUGCAUGGUUGUCGUCAGCUCGUGUCGUGAGAUGUUGGGUUAAGUCCCGCAACGAGCGCAACCCUUACUGUUAGUUGCUACGCAAGAGCACUCUAGCAGGACUGCCGUUGACAAAACGGAGGAAGGUGGGGAUGACGUCAAAUCAUCAUGCCCCUUACGACCUGGGCCUCACGCGUACUACAAUGGCUGUCAACAGAGGGAAGCAAAGCCGCGAGGUGGAGCGAACCCCUAAAAGCAGUCUUAGUUCGGAUUGUAGGCUGCAACCCGCCUACAUGAAGUCGGAAUUGCUAGUAAUCGCAGAUCAGCAUGCUGCGGUGAAUACGUUCCCGGGCCUUGUACACACCGCCCGUCACGCCAUGGGCGUCGGUAACACCCGAAGCCUGUAGUCUAACCGCAAGGAGGACGCAGUCGAAGGUGGGAUUGAUGACUGGGGUGAAGUCGUAACAAGGUA
rnacentral:rRNA from 1 species